GGAAUCUUCCACAAUGGACGCAAGUCUGAUGGAGCAACGCCGCGUGAGUAAAGAAGGUCUUCGGAUCGUAAAACUCUGUUGUUAGAGAAGAACACGAGUGAGAGUAACUGUUCAUUCGAUGACGGUAUCUAACCAGCAAGUCACGGCUAACUACGUGCCAG
rnacentral:rRNA from 1 species